CCAGGUACAUUCGCCUUGAGUUGAUCAUGGCUCAGAUUGAACGCUGGCGGCAGGCCUAACACAUGCAAGUCGAGCGGUAGAGAGGUGCUUGCACCUCUUGAGAGCGGCGGACGGGUGAGUAAUGCCUAGGAAUCUGCCUGGUAGUGGGGGAUAACGCUCGGAAACGGACGCUAAUACCGCAUACGUCCUACGGGAGAAAGCAGGGGACCUUCGGGCCUUGCGCUAUCAGAUGAGCCUAGGUCGGAUUAGCUAGUUGGUGAGGUAAUGGCUCACCAAGGCGACGAUCCGUAACUGGUCUGAGAGGAUGAUCAGUCACACUGGAACUGAGACACGGUCCAGACUCCUACGGGAGGCAGCAGUGGGGAAUAUUGGACAAUGGGCGAAAGCCUGAUCCAGCCAUGCCGCGUGUGUGAAGAAGGUCUUCGGAUUGUAAAGCACUUUAAGUUGGGAGGAAGGGCAUUAACCUAAUACGUUAGUGUUUUGACGUUACCGACAGAAUAAGCACCGGCUAACUCUGUGCCAGCAGCCGCGGUAAUACAGAGGGUGCAAGCGUUAAUCGGAAUUACUGGGCGUAAAGCGCGCGUAGGUGGUUCGUUAAGUUGGAUGUGAAAUCCCCGGGCUCAACCUGGGAACUGCAUUCAAAACUGUCGAGCUAGAGUAUGGUAGAGGGUGGUGGAAUUUCCUGUGUAGCGGUGAAUGCGUAGAUAUAGGAAGGACACCAGUGGCGAAGCGACCACUGGACUGAUACUGACACUGAGUGCGAAGCGUGGGAGCAACNAGAUAGA
rnacentral:rRNA from 1 species